rnacentral:rRNA from 1 species
UAGGGAAUCUUCCGCAAUGGACGCAAGUCUGACGGAGCAACGCCGCGUGAGUGAAGAAGGAUUUCGGUUCGUAAAACUCUGUUGUUAGAGAAGAACAGCGCAUAGAGUAACUGUUAUGCGUGUGACGGUAUCUAACCAGAAAGCCCCGGCUAACUAUGUGCCAGCAGCCGCGGUAAAACAUAGGGGGCAAGCGUUGUCCGGAAUCACUGGGCGUAAAGGGCGCGCAGGCGGUCUGUUAAGUCAGAUGUGAAAGGUUAGGGCUCAACCCUGAACGUGCAUCUGAUACUGGCAGACUUGAGUAUGGAAGAGGUAAGUGGAAUUCCUAGUGUAGCGGUGAAAUGCGUAGAUAUUAGGAGGAACACCAGUGGCGAAGGCGACUUACUGGGCCAUAACUGACGCUGAGGCGCGAAAGCGUGGGGAGCAAACAGG